GACAGAGGCCCCAAGCGUUAGGCGGAAUCACUGGUCUUAAAGCGUGUGUAGGCGGAUCGUUAAGUGUCUUGUGAAAUCCCACGGCUCACCCGUGGAACGGCUGGGCAUACUGGCGAUCUUGGGCCAACUAGGGGCAGUCGGAACAAGCGGUGGAGCGGUGAAAUGCGUAGAUAUCGCUUGGAACGCCGAAGGUGAAAACAGACUGCUGGGGCUGCGCCGACGCUGAGACACGAAAGCCAGGGGAGCAAACGGG
rnacentral:rRNA from 1 species